GGGUUGGAGGGCUUGCCGUCCUGCAGAGUCAUGUCCUCAGGGAGGUCCUCUCUUCAUUCCAGUUUCUGGGGCUGGAUGCCGGCGUCUUCCAGCACCGGCCACAGAGCGUCGUGCACCUGAAGACAAGAAUCAGAGGGAGUUUUCCUCCGCCUCCUGCUUCAGGCGCUGCCACUUGCGCUGCGCUUCUGGGGCUAAACGCCGGCUUUCUGGCGCGUGACCUACACCUCGGAACCAUUGACCAUGGAGCUGAGGGGAGAUGCGUACAGUGUGUGCUGAGUCAUGUGAGUGAGUUCCAGCGCACCACUGCAUCUGACCUUGAAGUCCAAGUUCAUCCGUGGUGCACCAUGUGGCCACCCUGGAAAAAAGCAAGCAGACCUCUCUAAGGAACCCCACUGCCUAGAUACCACGUACCCAUAAUCCUUGGUAUACUUGGCCUUGGCUGAUACCUCCAUCCCCCAGAUCCAUUUGGGUUUGCAUCAGACCUUUUGGAUUACAGAAUUUUUCUCCUAAGACGAUCAUUCUUAUUUGACUUGACAGAAAAAGUUGUUUUCCGAGGAGUCUUCUCUCCAUGUUACCCUUUGAGAUGACUGCCUGGAUGGCACAGGUGCUGUGCUUGGCCUGUGAACCAAGAAGAUGUGUUCUGCCCUACAGAAGCUGGUGACCCAGAGGAAGAAGAGACAAAUCUGGAUCGACCUUGCGUCCUUUCUCUGCUUUCCAAACAAAUCCGAAUGUUCGGACAUGAACUUGACAGUGUUCAUCUCACCGGUGCCCUGGAGACAGUAAGUCAGAUGUGUACAUAUCUUUUCGGUCUAUGCCGUCUGUCCUGUUACCUAUUUUUACUCUUGGAUACCUUUAAAAAGAAACUUUAAACUUUGAAACAAACCCCAGUGCUCUUGGUCUUUGGGUUGUAUACCUUUUGACAGCCUUCAAUGCAGAACAGUACAGCUCUGCCCAGACUGUUUCUGUGGUACACGGCAGACCCAGCCAGGGUGAGCCAAGCCAGCAGGUGUUUGUUUAACACUUAGUAUUUUGAUUUACCUAAGGUAAGCACUUCUCCUACUUCUUCCGCUGUGUUACUUGUUCUAAUUUAGCUUCUUUUCCUGUGCUAUUAUUGCUAACUAGAGCCAGUUAAAGAAUGGAAAGAGAGCUAACAAGGGGUUUGUAGGAUGGUAAGUAGAAUUUUCUUGCUCGGCAUUUUGGCUCACGUACCAUUCUUUGAAAACCUGGGUAUCUAGGACUCAGGCAUCGUCACUAAACUUAUUUACCACGGAAUUCUUUAUUCUCUCAUUUACAACCGCCUUGAAGAAUACUUGAGAAUGUUAGACUUAUCCAAAUGUGAAGUGCACUGAAACUCAGCGUAACCCUUUGACUCUGUAAAAUGAAGCCCAGGUGUAUAGAUUAAUGUCCAGAAGAGAGUUUUUGAAGGAGUGGCCCUUUCAAAUAAUUCUUAUUAGCUAGGACAACAUUUAAAAACUCCUGUGUUAAGCCCCUCAUAUAAUGCUUUGUGCUUUGACAGGCUUCUCUAACUCCCCUGGACAGAGCGAGUUGUUUUUCCAAGUCUCCUCUGCCCUAUGUACUGUAUUUAUCUAUUUUAUUUACUUUUAAAUUCUCUUCUUGCCUACGAUAGUGACUAGGACGUAAUAGGUGACCAGAAAAACGCUUGUUGAAUUGAACUGAGGAAGAGCCUUCCUUAUUCUGAUACUGUGCCAAAACAAUCUACACUGAGUAUUAUAAUGAGUGGUGAAAUAUUUAAAAGCUUUCCUUUGAGAUUGGGACCUAAACAAGCAUGUCCGCUAUCAUCACUUCUUUUUAAUGUCCCAUUGCAUGUCCUAGACAGUUCAAUAAAGGAAGGAAAAGAAAUUUUAAUAUAUGAGGAUAGAACAGGAAGAAAGAUGUAUAUGUAAAUGGUUUGACUCCACAUAAAGCCGAAGAAAUAAUUACUUUACUGGAUCCCAGAUAAACCAGAAAGUAGGGAUUUUUUUUUUUUUUUUNCAGAUUCUGACUUAGAAAGUAAGACUCAGUCAUAAGCCAAAAUCGGCCUGUACCAGCUCCUGGGAGCAGAUUGAUCACAUUUCUUUUUAACUCUGGGUUUCUUGUCCUCAAUCACUUCAGUAGCUUGAAAUCGUCAGCCAUGCUGGGAGUGUUUACAUCACAGAAACUGGCCCAAACCGCAGGUCAGUACUGAGGCCCUCGCCUACCAAGGCUGGUCACUAAACAUUGACUAACACACUACUGGGCAGACAGAUAAUGAGAUGAAACGUUCUGACAGCUUCAUUGAAAGGGCAAAGAAACUAUUGACAUGAUGUCUUAAAAUUGGGGGUUUUGUUUUAAAUAGGAAAACAGGUACUUGAAGUUAGAGAAGAAUCUCCGUUUAGACUUAGAUGUUGAGUUCCAGACAUGUGGAAUGACCGCCAUCCAAUUUAAUUUAAAAAAAAAAAAAAAAGGAAUUUCAUUGUUUUUGGAUCCAGUGAAAGGGAGGUUUUUUUAAAAAAAUUGAUUUUUGUUUUAAAGUUCAAUAAAAUUUUAUUAAUUUAAUUAGUUCCUAUCAAUUUUUAAAUAAGCAGUGGCUUAGAUUAAAUUUGCACUCUUGCUCUCUCACGCGCACUCUCUCCUUCUCUCCCUCCCCGCCCCCCUUAUUUAACCCAAACUCCUUGAGCACAUUAAUGGGUCUGGUCUGUGGUUUUACAGUUGGAGCGGCAUUGGUGAUUGUAAAUCAAGGCAAUGUUUUGGACCAGGAUUUCGUGGUGUUGUUUCUGUUAGGAUUUUGAGGGUUUUCCAUAAGGGUAUAUGUUAUGGGAAAAGCACAUACAAACCGGGAAAAGGAAGUUUGCUGGAAGCCGGAAGGGGGUUGUGUUGAUGGUGGCUGUUCCUUUAAGACAAUCACCCUGGGUAUCAUGAUCAGAAAGGGGAUUCAAGCGUGGACGUGGUAUGAGCAGGCAUCCGUAGGAUGGUCUGAGUUCACCUUCCAAGUGCGUGCGGGCUUGGGGGGAGCUGGAGGAGGAAGGGGAUCUUGCAGUGUGGUCGGAAGCGUGCCAGCUCAUGGAGUUCGCUGGUGGUGCCGCGGGUUGAGGAUCCUGCAUUGUCACUGCUGCGGCUUGAGUCACAGCUGUGGCACAGGUGUGCAUGCUGUGGGUGCAACCAAAAAAAAAAAAAA
rnacentral:lncRNA from 1 species